AGUGAACGCUGGCGGUAGGCCUAACACAUGCAAGUCGAACGGCAGCACAGUAAGAGCUUGCUCUUACGGGUGGCGAGUGGCGGACGGGUGAGGAAUACAUCGGAAUCUACUUUUUCGUGGGGGAUAACGUAGGGAAACUUACGCUAAUACCGCAUACGACCUACGGGUGAAAGCAGGGGAUCUUCGGACCUUGCGCGAUUGAAUGAGCCGAUGUCGGAUUAGCUAGUUGGCGGGGUAAAGGCCCACCAAGGCGACGAUCCGUAGCUGGUCUGAGAGGAUGAGCAGAGACACAGGGGAAGAGAGACACGGCAGACACCUCUGCGAGGGGCAAGAGGGGAGAAUUGUAGAAUAGGGGCGAAAGCCAGACAGAGAUAUACCGCGUGUGAGGAGAAGGCCUGGGGGUUGUAGCCCUUUUGUUGGGAAAGAAAAGCAGCAGGUUAAUACCCCGCUGUUCUGACGGUACCCAAAGAAUAAGCACCGGCUAACUUCGUG
rnacentral:rRNA from 1 species